CCUACGGGCGGCAGCAGUGGGGAAUAUUGCACAAUGGGCGCAAGCCUGAUGCAGCCAUGCCGCGUGUGUGAAGAAGGCCUUCGGGUUGUAAAGCACUUUCAGCGGGGAGGAAGGCGGUGAGGUUAAUAACCUCAUCGAUUGACGUUACCCGCAGAAGAAGCACCGGCUAACUCCGUGCCAGCAGCCGCGGCAAUACGGAGGGUGCAAGCGUUAAUCGGAAUUACUGGGCGUAAAGCGCACGCAGGCGGUCUGUCAAGUCGGAUGUGAAAUCCCCGGGCUCAACCUGGGAACUGCAUUCGAAACUGGCAGGCUAGAGUCUUGUAGAGGGGGGUAGAAUUCCAGGUGUAGCGGUGAAAUGCGUAGAGAUCUGGAGGAAUACCGGUGGCGAAGGCGGCCCCCUGGACAAAGACUGACGCUCAGGUGCGAAAGCGUGGGGAGCAAACAGGAUUAGAUACCCUUGUAGUC
rnacentral:rRNA from 1 species